rnacentral:tRNA from 1 species
GGUCAUAGCUCAGUGGUACAGCACUCGCCUAGCACGUGAGAAACCCUGGGUUCGAUUCUCACACCA